GUAGAAGGUCGCCAUGUGAUCCCGGGAAGAGAGGAUGCAUGAGGCUGGUGUCCUUGCUUUAUCCUAACUUUAACCAAGAAUGGCUAUAAAGAAAGGUGUGGAUGUGCCUUUACAAAAUGGAAGAAUGAAGGAGCACCAGUCCUCUAGCUUAGAGCAGGAUGGGAUCACCACCCUUGGAUCAAACAGGCCUAGAAAAACUGGGAGGCCUAGUGAUGCCUCAGCAUUCAUGAUGAGACAAUGACACACCCCAUGGGUCACAGGGUUCCCAGCAGGAAACAAACUGACAUGCUCAAACUGGGCAAUUUAAGAAAAGUUUACAAGAAGAUAGCAGGGAAAUGGGAGCAUAUAUUCCUUUGAGGCACAGGAUUGAAUGUCAGUCUUGAGUCAAAAAAGGAGGUUUAAAAGGAGCUCUGUACACAGGAAGUAUGACCUAUAGGGUUGACUAAUAAACAGAAUCUUCUAUGCCUCCUAUCCACUUUCAGUUCUUCCAGUCCAAGAAGCUGUUGGUUGC
rnacentral:lncRNA from 1 species